CAGCCGCCGCGGUAAUACGGAGGGCGCGAGCGUUACCCGGAUUUACUGGGCGUAAAGGGCGUGUAGGCGGCCUGGGGCGUCCCAUGUGAAAGGCCACGGCUCAACCGUGGAGGAGCGUGGGAUACGCUCAGGCUAGAGGGUGGGAGAGGGUGGUGGAAUUCCCGGAGUAGCGGUGAAAUGCGCAGAUACCGGGAGGAACGCCGAUGGCGAAGGCAGCCACCUGGUCCACUUCUGACGUUGAGGCGCGAAAGCGUGGGGAGCAAACCGGAUUAGAUACCCGAGUAGUCCCUGUCUCUUAUAC
rnacentral:rRNA from 1 species